CAGCAGCCGCGGUAAUACCGGCGGCCCGAGUGGCGGUCACUAUUAUUGGGCUUAAAGCGUCCGUAGCCGGGUUGGGAAGUCCUCCGGGAAAUCUGGCCGCUUAACGGUCAGAAUGCCGGAGGAUACUCCCAGCCUAGGGAGCGGGAGAGGCCGAGGGUAUUCCCGGAGUAGGGGUGAAAUCCUAUAAUCCCGGGAGGACCACCUGUGGCGAAGGCGCUCGGCUGGAACGCGUCCGACGGUGAGGGACGAAGGCCAGGGGAGCAAACCGGAUUAGAUGCCCGGGUAGUCCUGGCUGUAAACGAUGCGGACUUUGUGUCGGACAAGCUAUGAGCUUGUCCGGUGCCGGAGGGAAACCGUUAAGUCCGCCGCCUGGGGAGUACGGCCGCAAGGCUGAAACUUAAAGGAAUUGGCGGG
rnacentral:rRNA from 1 species